rnacentral:rRNA from 1 species
AUACGGAGGGUGCAAGCGUUAUUCGGAAUCAUUGGGUGUAAAGCGCGUGUAGGCGGCUCGGUAAGUCAGAUGUGAAAGCUCAAGGCUUAACCUUGAAAGUGCAUUUGAUACUGCCGGGCUUGAGUCCGGGAGAGGAAGGUGGAAUUCCCAGUGUAGAGGUGAAAUUCGUAGAUAUUGGGAGGAACACCGGUGGCGAAGGCGACCUUCUGGACCGAGACUGACGCUGAGACGCGAAAGCGUGGGGAGC